UACGAGCCGAAUAAAAAAGUUAGUGAACAUUGCGCUUUGAGAAGAGAUCUGGCACCUCUGAUAUGUGAAACCUAGUUGCAAAAUCAGCGGUUUUUUUCAUCGCUUAUCUCUCCCUCUGAGGAUCUCUAGUAUCAACUAAAUCGGGUUCUUGUGCAAUCGACAUAUUGAUAAGUCAAUUUCGUCAAACCACUUAUGUUGACUAUUUUUGUCACCCAAUUAAUUGGAAAAUUAAAUCAGUUGUCGUAAGAUGUGAAUUCAAUCUGUUAUGAGAUCGCUUUAUUAUAUAAAGUAAAAUCGGAUGAUAUUUUAUGUUGAUUAGUAAGCAAACGAAAUAGAAUUUCGUAGUGUUUGUCAAAAUGGUUCCGGGAACAAAUUUCCUGUUGCACUUCUACAUUUCGUAGAAGAUUUAUUGUGUCUUUCAUCUCAGGUAAGAGAAUUCAUUAUAUAAUGAUAAUGAGUAAGGUUGUGAUCUAUUAAUCCAAAACAAGAACAAUCUGAAUAUUGGGAAACCUUUGAUGAUUCUUUAACCGAAUAAAAUGUUUUGUUUUGUUCAGAUGUUUAGAACAGAAACCGUUUAUCGACAGGGCACUGGAAGGUUACCGGGAUCGGAGCCGAUUCAAAGCCCUCAUUCAACUCCCGGCUGUACGAGCAACAUCUAAAGCUUAACCGGCUGGUUCGAUAACUUUAAUAGGAGGAUUAAGCUGUCCAGAAGUACCACUGAAGGUAUGGAUCGGCUGCGAUUUAAGUUAAAAUAUAAGUUCAAAUUAAAACUUAACUUUCAACUUUAUACAUGGAUUAAUCAGCCUAUUUAGUAUGCUUGAAUAAAAAUAAUCUCUCUACUAAUCUGCAUAUUUAAUCUGAUUUAAUUGGAUUCAGAAAAUGAUCCACCGAUUUCUCAACCUAUUUCGUAUGGUUCAGGCAAUUUCAUCAUCAGACUAAUCUCCCUGUUUCGUCUGGUUUCGUAUAUAGGCUCGAACGAAAUCACCCUAAAACCACUCGAUUUGGUUGGUUUUCGUCGACCGAUUUCGUAUAGACCUUUUUACGUACGAAUGCUAUUAGUUGAGGAAAAUAUUUACUAAUAGCUUCUUUGUUUUUCCUGUAGGAGCCUAUGACCACUGCUACCAUUAGUUAGAUAUAUUGUGGUAUAGCUGCUUUGUUUGCAAUGCUAUGUCUCUAGCAGCUGGACAAAUAUUUAGUUGAACACUCAUUAUGUGUUUUAAACUUGUUUCUGAAUAAAUGUUUUCAUUUCUGAUCAGAAAUCGGAAGAAGCUGCUUAACAUGAUCGACCAAAAAUGGUAAAAAGUGAUAAAAGCCGAAGCAACGAGAUGCGGUGUUUUACAGUCACAUGAUGUGACUCACAUCUCUAUACUGAUCAAUCGGUAAACCCCCCAGUUGUUUCGUCGGAAUCGAAAUCGGGCAAUUGUGCCUAUGAGAAUGUACUAAAUAUGGGGAAAAAUAGGAGGGUCUUUUUAACGGGUCAUUUGUGCCCGCUGUCAGCUGUCAGAUAAAGGUGUGUGAGAAGUGGCGGUGUGAUAUGCUAUCUCGUUUACCUACGUUGAGAUGUUAGCCCUUGAAACCUGGCCCUUGAAACCUGGCCAUUCGGUUUAUUCCGUUUAUUCGCGUUGAAAGAGAUUUCGAAGGCUGUUCGCACCUACGUGAGCACUCAUAUGUAAUAGUCAAAAUGCGCGUGAUGACAAAAGCAAAAAUAUUUCCUUCUUUCUUUUUCGCACGCAGAAACCAAACAAAUAUCAGCAACACCGUCAACGCCAAUAUGGAUGAUAUUUUCACAACAAUAACAACGUAACAACUAGAACUUCGAUUAGUUAGAACUUUUUUCAGAAAGCGACAAUGGUAUUGCAAGGCGUAUUUGGAAUGAUGCUUUCAGCAUCAAUUGCCGUUUUAGUUGUAGUAGGUGUGGUAGGUGGUAUAAGAGCCUUUUAUCAAUCGCACUCAGAUUUCAGUCGAAACGAAGAACCGUUUCAUUCAAGUAAUUAUGAAACGUAUUAUCCCGAUAAUAGCGACGAUGAGAUAUGUUCUAUUUGUAUGAACAGUAUAAAAGAUAAAUCAGCCAGGAAGCUUCGUUGUAAACAUGCGUUUCACAAGAAGUGUAUUGACGAUUGGUUGUGCGAGAAACCAAUUUGUCCAAAUUGUAGAAAAGAAGUGUAGAUGUUCGGAUCGAUGAACUUGCAUUAACAUUUUUGUUUAAUCUUCAACUAAAUGCCGUUACGGGAGGACAUUCACCAGUGCGCUUUCAAAAGAAAAUUUCAAGCAAUAUGAGAAGUUGAAUGAUUUGGUUUAAUUGAAGUUACUUCUCGUUGAAAAUAAAAAAAAACUCUAUUUUUAUUGUAACAACGCGUUUCUAUUACAUGACACCGAGAAAAGGAACCGACAAAGGAUUG